GCAGCAAGUUGGGAUAGCUCAGUCGGUAGCAUGUAAGAUUCUGAAUCUCAGGGUUGUGGGUUCGAAUCCACUGUUGCA